rnacentral:rRNA from 1 species
CCUACGGGAGGCAGCAGUGAGGAAUAUUGGUCAAUGGACGAGAGUCUGAACCAGCCAAGUCGCGUGAAGGAUGACUGCCCUAUGGGUUGUAAACUUCUUUUAUAUGGGAAUAAAAUGUUCCACGUGUGGGAUUUUGUAUGUACCAUAUGAAUAAGGAUCGGCUAACUCCGUGCCAGCAGCCGCGGUAAUACGGAGGAUCCGAGCGUUAUCCGGAUUUAUUGGGUUUAAAGGGAGCGUAGGUGGAUUGUUAAGUCAGUUGUGAAAGUUUGGGGCUCAACCGUAAAAUUGCAGUUGAAACUGGCAGUCUUGAGUACAGUAGAGGUGGGCGGAAUUCGUGGUGUAGCGGUGAAAUGCUUAGAUAUCACGAAGAACUCCGAUUGCGAAGGCAGCUCACUGGACUGUAACUGACACUGAGGCUCGAAAGUGUGGGGAUCAAACAGGAUUAGAUACCCGUGUAGUC